AUUGAACGCUGGCGGCAUGCUUUACACAUGCAAGUCGAACGGUAACAGGCCGCAAGGUACUGACGAGUGGCGAACGGGUGAGUAAUGCAUCGGAACGUGCCCAGUCGUGGGGGAUAACGCAGCGAAAGCUGCGCUAAUACCGCAUACGAUCUAUGGCUGAAAGCGGGGGACCGAAAGGCCUCGCGCGAUUGGAGCGGCCGAUGUCAGAUUAGGUAGUUGGUGGGGUAAAGGCUCACCAAGCCAACGAUCUGUAGCUGGUCUGAGAGGACGACCAGCCACACUGGGACUGAGACACGGCACAGACUCCUACGGGAGGCAGCAGUGGGGAAUUUUGGACAAUGGGCGAAAGCCUGAUCCAGCAAUGCCGCGUGCAGGAAGAAGGCCUUCGGGUUGUAAACUGCUUUUGUACGGAGCGAAAAGGUCUCCUCUAAUACAGGGGGCUCAUGACGGUACCGUAGAAUAAGCACCGGCUAACUACGUGCCAGCCGCCGCAGUAAGAC
rnacentral:rRNA from 1 species